AGACCCGAAACCCGGUGAUCUAGCCAUGGGCAGGUUGAAGGUUGGGUAACACUAACUGGAGGACCGAACCGACUAAUGUUGAAAAAUUAGCGGAUGACCUGUGGCUGGGGGUGAAAGGCCAAUCAAACCGGGAGAUAGCUGGUUCUCCCCGAAAGCUAUUUAGGUAGCGCCUCGUGAAUUCAUCUCCGGGGGUAGAGCACUGUUUCGGCUAGGGGGCCAUCCCGGCUUACCAACCCGAUGCAAACUGCGAAUACCGGAGAAUGUUAUCACGGGAGACACACGGCGGGUGCUAACGUCCGUCGUGAAGAGGGAAACAACCCAGACCGCCAGCUAAGGUCCCAAAGUCAUGGUUAAGUGGGAAACGAUGUGGGAAGGCCCAGACAGCCAGGAUGUUGGCUUAGAAGCAGCCAUCAUUUAAAGAAAGCGUAAUAGCUCACUGGUCGAGUCGGCCUGCGCGGAAGAUGUAACGGGGCUAAACCAUGCACCGAAGCUGCGGCAGCGAACGUAUCACUUAAAGCGAUUCAGCGGGUUACGAUUGACGGAGCGAAGCGACGUCAAAGCGUAUACAAAGUCGAGUCGGUUUAAGGAUACGUUCGUUGGGUAGGGGAGCGUUCUGUAAGCCCGUGAAGGUGGCCUGUGAGGGUUGCUGGAGGUAUCAGAAGUGCGAAUGCUGACAUAAGUAACGAUAAAGCGGGUGAAAAGCCCGCUCGCCGGAAGACCAAGGGUUCCUGUCCAACGUUAAUCGGGGCAGGGUGAGUCGACCCCUAAGGCGAGGCCGAAAGGCGUAGUCGAUGGGAAACGGGUUAAUAUUCCCGUACUUGGUGUUACUGCGAAGGGGGGACGGAGAAGGCUAUGUUGGCCGGGCGACGGUUGUCCCGGUUUAAGCGUGUAGGUGUGUGUUCCAGGUAAAUCCGGUUCACUUUAACACUGAGGCGUGAUGACGAGGCACUACGGUGCUGAAGCAACAAAUGCCCUGCUUCCAGGAAAAGCCUCUAAGCAUCAGGUAACAUCAAAUCGUACCCCAAACCGACACAGGUGGUCAGGUAGAGAAUACCAAGGCGCUUGAGAGAACUCGGGUGAAGGAACUAGGCAAAAUGGUGCCGUAACUUCGGGAGAAGGCACGCUGACACGUAGGUGAAGUGAUUUACUCAUGGAGCUGAAGUCAGUCGAAGAUACCAGCUGGCUGCAACUGUUUAUUAAAAACACAGCACUGUGCAAACACGAAAGUGGACGUAUACGGUGUGACGCCUGCCCGGUGCCGGAAGGUUAAUUGAUGGGGUCAGCG
rnacentral:rRNA from 1 species